AUGUUGAUGUUUUCAGCUGUACAGUGGACACACUGCCUUGGUACCUUAGAGAGCCCUCGAACAGACCAGCCCCAGCACUUGAACAGAGCAUUCCUCUUCAGGGGACGAAAACCAUGGUCCAGAUCAAGAAGCAUAAACGAGGAAAUUGAAAAUCCCGCAUUGUUCUAUUUCCGAGUGAAAAGCUUUGACUCACCACUAGAGGGCACUAUUCACCCUCUCAUCUUUCUGAAGGUUUCAGCCCAGCAGGGCUCGUUUUCAAAUGAAAAUAACUGCAUUUACUAAGGCCGCAAUGUAAGUUGCAUUUAGAACCAUGCUCCACAUUUGAACCUUGUCUGUUGUGUGGAGGGGUAGCAGAGAUGAGGCAGAAAUCUCCUGAACUCCUGCAAGAAGUGAUGUGACUUUCAACGGCGAUAACAAUAGCAUCAGCAGCAAAUCAAAGAUCAGAGUUAGAGUGUCAGUAAGCAGGGGACCUGUGCUCCUCUGGCUCGGAAAUAGGGUAAGUGGGGGAAAUGGGGAGAGGAAACUAAGAAAGGCUAAAGGCAGUGAAAAAGAGUCUUCUGCCCCAAAUAAUUUCACACUCCAGUUUUUCUAUUUGGGUCAAUACAAGUCAUCUUCUAAAAUGAAAAAAAUCCACUAGGAAAAGUAGAUUUUUAACUUCUCUAAGACCAUAGGGAAUAAUUCCCUGAGAGUUUGGCGAGCCCAGGGAGGGAGAUGUCUCUGGAGCUGGAGUGUUAAGGGGUAUGGAAGCCUGGGUAAGGUGACAAAGCUGUGCCCAGCCACAUCCUCGGGCUCUAAGCCACCCUGGGCCUGUGCGGGCAC
rnacentral:lncRNA from 1 species